AUUACGCUGAAUGCCGGGAUUCCGGCAGCGGGAGAACCAAUUUUUGGGGGUGUAACUGCGGCAGGGCCGCAUGCGGGAACUUCCUUCCCUAACCCGACAGCUAAUCUCGUAAGCAAAG
rnacentral:sRNA from 1 species